rnacentral:miRNA from 1 species
AAGUUAUGAACAUAAAAGUUG